rnacentral:sRNA from 1 species
AUGGGAGGCCCAUAUCUGGGCUCACCAGCCCUGCCAUCUUUGUCACAGCCUCUGUCCAGGCCAAUGUGUCCUCCAGCUCAGCUUACUCCUUCAUUCAUUUUUUCAGGAAACAUUCAAGGACCUUCUUCCAAGGGCACAAUACUGAGCAACAUGGACAAGGUCUGGCCCUAUGGUAAAGUCAGGUCUGGAUCAUGGAAUUGAAUGGGGUGUGUUGCCAGGCACCCGCAUGAGGGGCUGGCUCCUCCCCGUGAAUUCUGGGCACAGACACCCAGACCUGAGCAGGCCCCUCACCCCACAGCGACUGGGGAGCGGGAGCCCGAGUCUCUCCCACCUGCUCCCUCGGUUUCUGAGGGUCUGUCUCAUCCUGCAGCUGGACAGACGUGAUCUUCAGCCUCAAGUUACAGACGCUUAGAGAAGCUGGAGACUUGCACAAUGUCUCAGAGGAAAGAGAGCCAGAACCUGGACCCGUGUGUACCCCGACCAAACCCUCCAUGGUGGAAGGAAUAGGAGUGGGAAGGGGAGGAGGAGACAUAUGGUCCAGGAGGUUCCAUAUGUACCCACACAUGGACCUCAAAGAGGCCCCCACAGCAAGACAGCAAAUGACAUCCACAGUCACAGAUCACGGAGUGAUUUCAGAUGAAGAUGGUGCUGGCAGUUUCCCCAUCAGCGCAAUGGAGUUUGAGCAAAGGAUCUCACUGGAGAAGUCGCAGCGACAGUGGAUCUAAGAGCAGAGGGCAAGGGCUGUCUGAGCCUUGUGAAGCUCAAUUCUGCCCCCUGGUGCCCAGAAUGCCGCGCCAGCAAUGGGAUGCAGGAAGAAGAGGCAGGAGACACCUGAGGUCUCUCACCUUUUCCAAGCUACUCAGACCUCCCUCUUACAGGGCAGGGAACACAGGGCACCAGCCCUACUAACCCAGUCUGAGGGGAAACUCUGAGGCUCCCUCUCCUGCAGAGAUCUCAGACUCUGUGGUAGAAUUGGUGUGGGGGGACACGUGACGUCAGCAAUAGCCCUGUCCAUCCAGCACCUGGACACCCCGAGUGGUUCCUUCUAUGGGAGGCAGAGGCAGGGCUGCCCCCUCUGCUGUGCAAUUCCUGGGGUCUUCAUCUGAGUUAAAUUAUUUUAAGUCAGGA